rnacentral:piRNA from 1 species
UCUUGUACUUCAUGGUGGCUGUAGAGAA